AUUGAACGCUGGCGGCAGGCCUAACGCAUGCAAGUCGAGCGGUAGAGAGAAGCUUGCUUUUCUUGAGAGCGGCGGACGGGUGAGUAAUGCCUAGGAAUCUGCCUGGUAGUGGGGGAUAACGUUCGGAAACGGACGCUAAUACCGCAUACGUCCUACGGGAGAAAGUGGGGGAUCUUCGGACCUCACGCUAUCAGAUGAGCCUAGGUCGGAUUAGCUAGUUGGUGAGGUAAUGGCUCACCAAGGCGACGAUCCGUAACUGGUCUGAGAGGAUGCUCAGUCCCACUGGAACUGAGACACGGGCCAGACUGCUACGGGAGGCAGCAGUGGGGAAUAUUGGACAAUGGGCGCAAGCCUGAGCCAGCCAUGCCGCGUGUGUGAAGAAGGUCUUCGGAUUGUAAAGCACUUUAAGUUGGGAGGAAGGUCAGUAGCUUAAUACGUUGCUGAUUUGACGUUACCGACAGAAUAAGCACCGGCUAACUCUGUGCCAGCCGCCGCGGUAA
rnacentral:rRNA from 1 species